rnacentral:misc_RNA from 1 species
GUGCGAUAACUAGUGUGAAUUGCAUAUUCAGUGAAUCAUCGAGUCUUUGAACGCAACUUGCGCUCAUUGGUAUUCCAAUGAGCACGCCUGUUUCAGUAUCAAAACAAACCCUCUAUCCAACAUUUUUGUUGAAUAGGAAUAUUGAGAGUCUCUUGAUCUAUUCUGAUCUCGAACCUCUUGAAAUGUACAAAGGCCUGAUCUUGUUUGAAUGCCUGAACUUUUUUUUAAUAUAAAGAGAAGCUCUUGCGGUAAACUGUGCUGGGGCCUCCCAAAUAAUACUCUUUUUAAAUUUGAUCUGAAAUCAGGCGGGAUUACCCGCUGAACUUAA